GCGGGAAUAUUGCACAAUGGGCGCAAGCCUGAUGCAGCCAUGCCGCGUGUGUGAAGAAGGCCCUAGGGUUGUAAAGCACUUUCAGUGGCGAAGAAACAGCCGGCGCUAAUAUCGCCGGUCAUUGACGUUAACCACAGAAGAAGCACCGGCCAACUCCGUGCCAGCAGCCGCGGUAAUACGGAGGGUGCGAACGUUAAUCGGAAUUACUGGGCGUAAAGCGCGCGUAGGCGGUUUGUUAAGUGGGAUGUGAAAGCCCCGGGCUCAACCUGGGAACUGCAUUUCAAACUGGCAAACUAGAGUUCGGUAGAGGGAGGUGGAAUUUCCUGUGUAGCGGUGGAAUGCGUAGAUAUAGGAAGGAACACCAGUGGCGAAGGCGGCCUCCUGGACCGAAACUGACGCUCAUGUGCGAAAGCGUGGGGAGCAAACAGG
rnacentral:rRNA from 1 species